GCUUUCUAACUCUCUCUAAAUUUUGCUGAUUAUUUUGAGAAGUGUGGGAGGGAGUUCGAAUGUGGUGUGGAGGCCCUUGUUUUAUAGGCUGAUUUUGUGUACCUUAGGGGAGUUAAUGAGGCUGACCUUGUUUGGUUUAUUGCCCAGCAUAUCUCUUGUUCUUGAUCCCCAAAGCAGCCUUUUACUUGACACAUUUUGGUGCUACUUGGAGUACUAGAGUUUGACUAAUUAAUUUAACUUGUUCUCACAUGCUCUCAUAGUACUUUGGUUCAUAACUUUAUUUGUUUGCAAGCUGCAGGAAAUCUCUCACUUCCUUGAUCUCCACUACUCUUGUUUGAAUGAACUUGGUGUUUUGCUAAGGACAGAGGACUUCUCAUUUACUCACUUUGGUGGUUUGUGACUAAGAAAAGCUGGUGUGCCGGCUGUUUUUUUUUUAGAGGAGUAUAAAGGCAGAUUUGGCUUUCCUCAUUUGGGUAGGUCCUUAGUCCUCUAUCACUAAGGUGGGUCACCUUGGCUGCUUUGAUGUUCUCGGACUCGGCCCGCCGUUCGGCCGAUGGGUUGCUCAAACGGGCCACGAUUUUGGCCUGAGGGGGAAGGCCCGAAAAGCAUCUAAAUUUUAUUUUCUUUGUUUUCUUUCUUUGAAGCCUCGAUCCACAUAUUGUAGUAUUUUUGACAUUAAUUGUUCGUUUAUUGUACUAGAAAUGUUAUUCGAAAAUUCAUGAUAUUCUACAAUGUAAAUUUCCAAUUCUUAGUUCAA